rnacentral:rRNA from 1 species
GUAGCCUACGGGACGCAGCAGUAGGGCAUAUUGCUCAAUGGGGGAAACCCUGAAGCAGCAACGCCGCGUGGAGGAUGAAGGUUUUCGGAUUGUAAACUCCUUUUGUUAGAGAAGAUAAUGACGGUAUCUAACGAAUAAGCACCGGCUAACUCCGUGCCAGCAGCCGCGGUAAUACGGAGGGUGCAAGCGUUACUCGGAAUCACUGGGCGUAAAGAGCGCGUAGGCGGGAUAGCAAGUCAGAUGUGAAAUCCUAUGGCUUAACCAUAGAACUGCAUUUGCAACUGUUAUUCUAGGAUAUGGGAGAG